rnacentral:lncRNA from 1 species
GACUCGGAAAGGGAACUCCCUGACCCCUUGCGCUUCCCGAGUGAGGCAAUGCCUCGCCCUGCUUCGACUCGCGCAUGGUGCGCGCACGCACUGACCUGCGCCCACUGUCUGGCACUCCCUAGUGAGAUGAACCCGGUACCUCAGAUGGAAAUGCAGAAAUCACCAGUCUUCUGCGUCGCUCACGCUGGGAGCUGUAGACCGGAGCUGUUCCUAUUCGGCCAUCUUGUCUCCUCCCGUGGUUUUCCAGGUGUAUUCCACAUUGUCUCUACUAGUGAACUAGGAUAAUCCAUUGUGUAUCUCAACCUCCUUCACUACCCUGUGAAAGUCACAUGUGAGAAGAAGCAUCACAGAUGAUUCCAUGGAGAACAUCCUGGAAGUUCUCCAAAUGGAACUGGAAAUUCCCUGUCUCCCCUUAACCAGCACUGGAAGCAGAUGGGAAGAGAAUAGCUGUGACUGACUCACACUCUAACCCAGCAACCCUCAGCAUACAAGUGGGAGACCAUAAAGUUUUUCAAGACCCCAAAAGAGGCCAAAGGUCUGAUAAUUGCUGGGAGAAGGUCCACUAUCCAAGAAGAGAAGAGGAAAAGGAAUUAAAGUCUCCAAGCACUGGGGAUGCAAGAAGAGAGUUGCACAGGAGAGAAAGAAGAAGUUGUCCACGGGGUGACCCUGCAAUUGGAGGGAAAUGCAUGUGGAUAUGUGCAGGGAGUCUAGGAAGUGAAGCCUUAGUGAUCAUUUACAAGAAUGAGGGUUAGGUAAAAUAAGGGAUGCAAAGCCACCUGUAGUCUAUUCUAACCUCACUCCAUCACUCUAUACAAUCUGUGUUUUAUCAUCUGAAAUGUUAAGUAAAGACCUGUUUGGGUCUUCUUCAGAAUCCCAUACAUUUGAGUUCAUUAGUCAGAAAAAGGGAAAAUACCACCACCCCAUCCUGGAAUGGCAGUCAUGUACACUUUUAUAAUGAGAGAUUGGGCAGCAAAGGGGGCCCCUUGUGGACCUCACCCAGCCAGAGAAGGAGGCAGAAUGUUUCCUUUACUAUCUUUUCCUCUCCCCAGAGGAACACUACAUAUUGUUCCCUCCAUGGGCUUAAGAGAAGGUGCCAGGGUUACAGAUAGAUAUAUCGCUAGCUGUAGAGCACAGGGUGAAUUGGGAUGUCCAUGUACAAAGCUAGGGACAGGAGAAUCAGUUUAAAGACUUUAAAAAUAAUUAGGAAAAAAAGGAAGGCCUGACCCAAAGCUUAGGAGUGCAGGUAGAGAAGAGAUGGUGCCAUGAUAUACCAUGUCUCUGGGACUUUUCUGUAUUCCUCUUCCUCUGUAUACUGUAUUGCCCUCAUUCCCUAUUUAUUCAAAAUCUGUGCUACCUCCACUGCGAAGACUUCCACGAGAAAAUUCAGAUAUUUCUUCUUUUGUGGACACUUUCUACCUUACAAAUAAGUUAAUUUUAAUUCAAGGAAGAGUUUUUCCGGAACCCUGUUGGCCUGCUCACAGGAAUGUAAGUUCCUUAAAUCUAGGGCACAGUGUCUUUGAGAACUGCAAUCACCUACAUCAACAUGACAUAGCUAUUAGGACUAAGAACAGAGACCACCUGUGUCAACAUGAGUUACUAUUUUUUUCCGUGAAACAUUUGUCCAAGAAAGAUAAGACUGUAACCAAUAAAUAGUUUGCAAGUAAU